rnacentral:misc_RNA from 1 species
UAUAGAGCAUUCCAUAUAUCAAGCCAUUGCCAAGUUCCUUCACCAGGUGUUCUGUAAGGCACCCGUGGUGUACCAACAGGCAUCAUUGAAAUGCGCGCCCUGGUAGCCCUCUUGUUUGAUAAUCCCAGAGAGAUCCUCCGGUUGACGGCGGUGUAGAACCCGGCGGUGACAUUCGGGCACGACGACUCCGACGAGCCUAGCUUGGUCUGG